rnacentral:lncRNA from 12 species
CAGGUGGGGUCUCACCUGAGUGGGGCAGAGGGGCAGAAUCCCCCUCCCCUGCUGCCCACACUGGGGACCAGCCCAGCACAGGGGGGCUCUGGGCCAGCUCUCACCCCCCAGCACCCCAAGUGCUUCUCCCAGAGCUGCUCUCCAUCCCUUCAUCCCCAGCCUGGAUUGAUCCUGGGCGUUGCCCCAACACAGGUGCAGCACCUGCUCUUGGCUUUGUUGAACCUCAUGAGAUUCCCCAAGGCCAUUGACUGAGCUUGUCCUGAUUCCUCUGGAUUCCACACUGUUCCUCAGUCAUGGAGCAGGAGCACACGGAAGAUCCCCAAGGACCCGACGCAGCGAUGGCUCCGGGAACUCGCUGCAUUGAGCCAGCAGCUGCAGCAGGUUCACCCCAAUGUCCUGGCCAAGAUCCUUAAACAGAGAACUGUAUACCAGAAUGAGGAGAUUGUGGUGAUAGACAAACCCUAUGGGCUUCCUGUGCACGGUGGCCCCGGCAUCAAGAACUGCAUCGCUGAUGUGCUGCCAAUUUUGGCCAAGAUGCUGGAGAACAUGAAGGCUGAGCCUCUCCACCUCUGCCACCGGCUGGACAAGGAGACCACAG